AAAAUAACCAAAAUUGGGAAACAAUAGAUCGAUAUAAAUACAACGAACAAACCCUGGGAUAAGCAUCAGUUUCACUCAAUCGGUGCAAUUACUAAGUCAAAAUGAAGUUCUUGCUUGUCGUCCUCGCCGUCAUCGUUGGUCUUUUUGGACUCACCAAUGCCCUCAUUUGUGCCAGGGAUGGUGACAGCUACAUGAUCUUUCGCGACAAAAUCGCCAUGGAGAAUUAUAACCACGGAAGUGGAAGUAAUUACCGAUUCGCUCAUCACGGGGAAUGCUGAAUAGCUUGAGCGAAAGAACUAUUACAACAUUAUGAUUUACAGGAACCAGUACAGUGCUCUCUCAUAAAUCUUAAGUAGUUUGUUUUUCGGAUUCUUAAGUUUUCUGAAA